GGGCCCUUUGGGUCCAACCUCCCACCCGUGUUUAUUUACCUCGUUGCUUCGGCGGGCCCGCCUUAACUGGCCGCCGGGGGGCUCACGCCCCCGGGCCCGCGCCCGCCGAAGACACCCCCGAACUCUGCCUGAAGAUUGUCGUCUGAGUGAAAAUAUAAAUUAUUUAAAACUUUCAACAACGGAUCUCUUGGUUCCGGCAUCGAUGAAGAACGCAGCGAAAUGCGAUACGUAAUGUGAAUUGCAAAUUCAGUGAAUCAUCGAGUCUUUGAACGCACAUUGCGCCCCCUGGUAUUCCGGGGGGCAUGCCUGUCCGAGCGUCAUUGCUGCCCUCAAGCCCGGCUUGUGUGUUGGGCCCCGUCCUCCGAUUCCGGGGGACGGGCCCGAAAGGCAGCGGCGGCACCGCGUCCGGUCCUCGAGCGUAUGGGGCUUUGUCACCCGCUCUGUAGGCCCGGCCGGCGCUUGCCGAUCAACCCAAAUUUUUAUCCAGGUUGACCUCGGAUCAGGUAGGGAUACCCGCUGAACUUAAGCAUAUCAAUAAGCGGAGGAA
rnacentral:rRNA from 1 species